GAGAAUGUCCCUGAGGCCUGAGCAGUGUGUCCUUUUGGGUAUGGGCAUUGGAAGCAUGUAGUGAAUUCUUAUAAUUUUAUGUUGCCUCGGCAUCCAUCUUGAGUAUAAGCUUAACUUUGUUAUACCAGAAGCAAGGCUUACUCACUUUUGCACAGUUUCCAGUUCUACACCUCCUUCUUGUUCCUCAGUGUGGUUGGUCCAGAUAGCUGCCUUAUCCAACUGCCUCCUUUGGACCACUUCAUCAUGGGACAGCUUGAUGCAAUCUACUUGACAAGACCCUGGAACCCCACACCCCUCAUGGAACCAGUGUCCACCUCCCAGUCACAGUGUGACCCCAGGGAACUCUUGCCUGCUUGCUUUAAACCCACCACUUAAAAGUCUCCACAGAAAACCUGUUUGAAUAGUACCUUUGACCCAAUAAGGGCAUUGGCCCAUGGGUGUCUCUCUCUCUCUCUCUCCCUCUCUCUCUCUCUCGCUCCCUGACCUCUGCGUGUGGACUCCAGGCAUGCCAUAUACCCCUCAGGACCUGAAGCAAGAGAAUGAAUUAAAGAAAACUCCAGAGAAUGAGCUGACAACCUACUCCCUGGUCACUGGCUCUCCAUGCCUACCUGUGGUCUCUUGGACACCCUUGCAGAUGACUUCCUGGGAACUCUUCUGGGAGUGAAUGUUAUCAGCAAAUUCCCAAAACAACACCCCUUAGACAAAAAGCCUCCUCACCUAUGCAUUGCCUAGACCACCCACUAAAGGUGAUGGCCACAAAGAGGUGGAUUUGUUGAGUUGGUGCCAUUCCUUCUACUGCCAGCUUCACCAAAACAAUGACACAGUCUUCCUUCUGCAUGGAGACUCUUCUCUUUCCUGUGUUGCAGUGGAUGCCUCCUGCAGAUAAGAAAUGCUUAACUGAGAAAUGCUCAUGUUGGGAUAUCAUCGAUGAGACUUUAAUUUGGGCAUGGUGACUGUUUCCCUUGCUGCCACUUGACUCAAUCCCAGGAGCCUCAGUAGAGGAUAUAAUAUUACACAAGAUGCUCAAAAUGGUGGAAUUGCUCAGUGCUCCCAUAAAUAUACAUUUAUAAUUUUCAUUUGCCACAUGGUAAACUGAAAAAUACAGACUAUAUUAAAAAGAAACUGCAUGAUUUUUUUUCAAAAAUUCAAAGCAUAUUUAAAUAAUAUAUAAAUUAAAUGCCCUCCUCUCUUCCAAUUCUGUCCCUAUACUUUUCCUCUAUUAAGUGAACUACAUGCAUUCUUUUAGUGGAUAGAUGCACACAAACACACAAGCCAUUAUGGGGAAGGAUCCACGUGUGUGGCCAUAUUGUAACACAUUUUUCUGCAAAUUACCUCUUUCAUUUAACAGCCCUUAUUCAAUGGCCUUUUUCUUUUUCAGUAGUACAUACACAUCUGUGUCAUUUGUUGAAUGACGACAUGAAUGUUUUGUAGAUAAAAUAUAAUUAAAUGUUUUAAGCAUUUCUCACUCAUAGAUAUUUAUGUUAGCACCAAAUUUCUGUGCAAUGAACCUCCCUAUAUAUCAGUAAUUUUGCAUUUGUCUAUAAUAUCAUAAUAAAUUACUUAUCAGUUGAAUUACUGGGAUUAAGUAUGUGCACACUUUAUAUUUAUAUUUUGAAAAUUAUUGCAAGAUUGCCUUCAAAAAUGUGGUUAACAACUUUAUCUUCAAAUGGCAAUGAAUGAGAUUGCCAGCUUUCCUACAACCUCACAGACAAUGGAUUUUAUAAAUAUUUAACAUUUUUGCCAAUGUGAUCACCCAAACUAUUGUCUUAAAUUGUAUUUCUUUUGUUUUUGAGUUUGGUCAUUUUUUCAUGUUUAUUAGCCAUCUGUAUUUUUUAAUUUCUUCUUUAUGUCCAAUUUUGUGGGUGGGAGGAGGAUUUAGUCUCUUCCUGAUUUCGAAGAGCUCAUUUACUAUUUCGGGAAAUAAGAUUUGGAUUGUCAACCAUUAUAGCUAUUUUUUACACACUUUUCAACUUUGUUUUUGUUAUAAGAAUGUGUAUGAUUGUUACAUGUCCAAGUAUAACCAUGUUCGC
rnacentral:lncRNA from 1 species